GACGAACCGUGCGAACGUUGUUCGGAAUUACUGGGCGUAAAGGGCGCGUAGGCGGCCCGCUAAGUCGAACGUGAAAUCCCCAGGCUCAACCUGGGAACUGCGUCCGAUACUGGCAGGCUUGAAUCCGGGAGAGGGAUGUGGAAUUCCAGGUGUAGCGGUGAAAUGCGUAGAUAUCUGGAGGAACACCGGUGGCGAAGGCGGCAUCCUGGACCGGUAUUGACGCUGAGGCGCGAAAGCCAGGGGAGCAAACGGG
rnacentral:rRNA from 1 species